UGGCUGCAGCUGUGCAGCAGAGUCCUCAGCUGCUGCAGCUCACAGCCUGCUGUGAGGUGGGAUCGUUUGCAGAGCCGUGGGGUGGAAGGUGCUGCUGCUCAGCCAGGAAUGAAUCAGCAAAGCCAGCGAGCCAGCCCAGAACGAUGGGCUCCUGCUUUGAGCUAAGUCCAGUAAUAUUUUUUUUUCUCUCUUGUUGGCACACAUGCAAAUUCAUCAGCUAGCACAUGCUGCUGCAGGAAAUAUCACUGUGACCAUAUAAAACUAAAAUCUGCCCUGGUAGCUACACUGCUACUGACCACAAAGGCACAGAGCAAUCCACAGUUUCUUCUCCAGAACAGCAAGACAGGGACGGCUGCUAAUAAAAGAGUGAGGGAAAAGGCUUUGGAGGAAGAACUAUUGUGUUCAUUGAAGGGGUGGAAUGCAAUAAAAAAAAUUAUCUCAGGGAUGGGUGGGGAGAAUGCUACGUGCAUUAUAUCAUCCACUGCAGGCCAGACUGAGUGGGGGAGUGUUUUUUGUGGUGGUGGGAGAGUUGUGCAGGAGGUAUGCUGUAAAGAGACUUUUCCAAAGGUGCUUGUUGCAUUUCUUAUUAUAGUAAACUUUCUACAAGUAGCUUUUCACCUAUGCAUCCAGUCUGCUUUGUAAAAUCAUGGCCUGACGCUAUUGGCUACAGGACUCACAUCCAAGGCCCUUGUGCUAUCACAUGAGACAGGGGCAUGACACCAAUGCUCAAAAAAAGGGGAGAGAUCCUGCUUGCCCUCUCAGGCCAGCCUCUGCCAUGUAUGUGUACAUCUUCCUGGCAUCACCAUAGCACGAGUGCAGUGCCCCCAGCCUCUCUGGGGUCUGACUUCUCUGGCUGGAGGAAGAUGAGGAGUCUUACAAAAAACCUAAACAGUUCCAGGUGGCACAUGUUCAACCCAAGAUGUUGCAGCACAAAGAAAUGGAAAAUACUUUUUUCAUGACGCAGGUAUUUGUCAGUUUUGCUCCAGGCAACACCUUUUGUCUGAAAGAAGGGGACAGAAUCAGAGCCUGGCUUUGAAAGCAUCUGUUGGGUGCGUGAUGAGGAAUGCACAGAGCCUACCAGGCACCAGGGCUUUUGAGAGCACGCAGAAUACAUUUUCCACAGGAAAGAUUCUCUAAUUUACCCUUAGCAUCCUCACAAAUAGAAAUUACAAGGAAAUACAUCAAGGAAAGAAUUAAUCAGAUUGAAAGGCUUUGUAGUAAUUAGAAGAAUGAAUGGCAACUUCUCAGGCUCCCUUGGGUGGUGGUAAUUACCAGCUGCAUGACUGUGAUGUGUGCAAGUUAAAGUUUUCUGGAUUAAAAAGCUGAACAUCAUCAUUUCCUUUUUAGAGGAGCCUUUCUCGGACUUAGGCAGCUGUAGGGGCAAAUAGCUCAGAGAAACCUGCAUUGUGCCUCCUUCUGCCAUGCCACUUUAGCAUGCGGGGUGUUCUGCAGCCUGAUCUCAAGCCAUGGACCAUUUCCCAUCACUUUUUUGCUGUUGCCUUGGAGGAGAUGAGUACCAUUUAUAACCCAGCAAACCAGGCAACCAAAUCCUUUCUGUGGCAGCUGCAGACAGCCUUGGACCCAUCUGCUUCUGCACCAUAUCCCAGCAGCAAAGGCCAGGUCAUAUUCCCUGCGGUGCCAAUUCUGUCACUGGUGUGGCUGGGCAGCCCAAAGUGCAAGGCUGCAUGCCUCAUAACUCCGGGGGAUAGACACAACUUGCCAGGGAAGGAGUUUUAUUAAUUCAAGAGAGCUUUUGAAUGUCUGGUUUUAAGCUAAUAAUGACCUGAAAUGGCAAUGCAUCUUAGGAGGAAAUAAAAAAUCUCUGGCAAAAAAAAAUUUUGAAGAAAAUGGACAUCAAGUGAUGGAUUCCUGUGGUCCCCUUGUAGAAGGCUAAGGGCACUGGGCUAGGGGUUUCAUCAGUCGCUGAGUCCCAUCACCUGCUCUUUCUGGUCCUUGUUCCCAGAUGAACCAAGAGCUGUUUCAAAGGUCCUUAGACGCUCCUAGCUCUUUUGGGAGACAGAGUGUUUCAGAGCCGCACUGAUCAUCAGGAACUUUCUUUGAGCUUUCAGCCUGAAUUCAGGCUGAGAUUCAGUUCACAGCCAGCAUUGUCUGGUUUUGUACCUACACAGACUCCAGCUGCUGUUCUCCCUCCGUAAGGUUUUGCUGUCUCUACAGCCAUCACAAGGGUAAUCAUAAGCUCCCUUGGCUUUAGCAGAGCAUGACUAGAUAUGCCAAACUCUUAAGGUCUCUUUUUUUCUCUGAUGAAAUCUCUGCUGCAGUCCUGCUCUGCACCUUUUCUAGGUGUAGUUCACCUGAGUGUGAAUAACCACAUGGGGUCUCAUCGGUAUCUCCCGUAGUGGCACGUCACAUAGAUAGUACUAAUCCAUGCCGUGCCGAAGAGAAAAGAACACCAAAGGGUCAAGUCCCCUUAAAAAAUAACUGCAGCUUCAAAGGAGGAGCGACUAUCGUCAAUGAUUUCCUCCAGCAAACCAGGUUAGGCUGGUUGAAAGGCUUGCCGUGGUCUGCUUGGCUUUGAAGUGAACCGAAUUCCCAAGGCUGUGAGCCAACAGAUUCAUCAUCUCCUGCAGGCCUGAGCUCCGGCCAGAAUCGAUCGUUCUGUUUCGGUGUGUUCCUCCCUGUGCUCCCCAGCCCCUGGCUGCCUCGGGGCUGAGCUUCUCCCCAGCUUCUUGAGUCGCUCGUGGUGUCCAUCCCUCCUUGCAACACCCAUCUGGCUUUUUACACCUCAGCCGGAGAGUCCGGCUGUUUUCUAGCUUCGUCAUUACAAUCCUGGAGGCUGGAGAGGCAACAGAUCAGUGACCAGAGCUAAUAGCAGCAAAAAGGAUUAAAUGAACAAUAGGUCUUGAGAGUAAUUUAUGAAUGCCAUUAGCCGCUGAGAGGGAAUUACGUUAUGGCUGCAGCUCCGAGGGGGGAGCGUGGUUCUUAUCUGGGCAGGAAGAAAAAAAAUAAUAAUGUCUGAUUGCAUUUGGAUUAACAAACAAUGGCAUUGAUCUGUCAUGUGAGGCAUCUCGGACUGUUAUGUUUAGAUUAGGUCUAGUGACAUCUGAACAAAGAUAAACUGUGUUUCCUCUAUCUUGUGUUCAGACCCCCGUGGCCAGCGAGCAUCGGGUUGGCAUCUUGGGGCUGUGGCCAUACAGUGACGACCACUUUUUUUUGAUGGUUCUCCAUCAAAACUCUUGCAGAAAGCAGGUUUUCCUCCUUUCCCACGUGCAGUGGUCUGCCUCAAACAGGAUGUGGGUUGCACGAGCGUUUCCCUGCAGCCUGCCUACCACGACCCAAGGAUGGCACCGAGCAAACCCCUCCUUUGUCUGAAAUUUCGCCUCCGUGUUUUGUUUCACAGUCAGCGCGGCAUCUCAUUAAACUGCUCAGCCUGGCAGCUGGGACCGUUUGUUAUCGUGUGAUACGAAGGCUCAUAAUCAGAUUAAACCUCGGGAUCAUAUUGUGGAGGGAGAGAUUAGGCUGCAGAACAAAGCACGAGUUUAAUUUUGCGCGACAGUGCAGUCACCUCUCCUGGGGGUCGAGAGGGGCAGAGGAAGACGCCGCGGAGGGUCUGUGCCCCUGGCUCAGUUUUCAGCAGAAAGGCUUUAGGACCUGCUUUGAAGUAUGGGGUGGCCCUGCAGCCACCGGCUCACGAGGCUGGCUCACUCUGCUUGUUGUCCCAAAUGGGGACUGGAAGUGAGGGCUCACAUGGGAAGAAAAAUCCAGGGGGUGUAGGUGGUGCACUGGCGACUUAAUUCUUAUCUCUGUGCUGGAGUUAAAGCCAAUUAGGGGGCAAAAUCUGUACAGAAAACUGCUUUUUCUCAGGGAAACUCUGGGCUCGGGGGAGGUGCAGGCACCCACAUCAUCACAUGCAUGUCCUGUUAUCACCAGUGAAAUCAGUGGGACUCUAUAAAUACACCCACCUUCAGAAAUGGUGGCUGAGCUGACUCCUGUCCCCAAAGAAGUAAACAGCUGUCAGGAAGUGGAGAUAAAAACACGUACAUACAUUUUUUACAACUGUACCUAAGACAAUUGUAAGCUCUGUUCCUGCACUCCCUGUUACUUGUCCUGGAGAUGCACUUAAUGAAUAAUAUAUUCUUUCACCAGCUUGAUCUUUUGCUCAGAUAUUAUGCCCUCUUCCUCCCCCUUUGUCUGCUCUCUGUUCCCUGGAGACUAAGCAGCUUAGGGCAGGAGCCUGGCAUAGGAAGAUCUUCGUUUUCCUUGUGCUUCCUGAAACUUAACACAAUACAAACCCGCAGAAGAGCCUCAGAGUAAGGGAGGAGAUCCUGAAUCCGAACCGCUGGAAAGCAGCCAGAGACCUUCCAGCCGCCCGAGACGAUCGCUGCGGUGAGGAGGGGAGCAGAUGGAGGAGAGACACCAGCACCUCGCUCGGCACAAGAAUUACCUCCACGCACAUCGCCAGCGGUGUCCCCUGCUUCCAGAUGAUGAAGUGCUGGCGUGCUGGGGGUGGUGAUGCCAGAUGCUGGAUGUAUGGCUUCAGGGAGCGCGCAUCCGAUGUUAACAAAAAGAAGAAGACGGCAGCGGGCUGUCUUCCCCUCUCGGUGCCUGGCAGGAACUGAGAAAGGGUACUCGCACAAUGGGAAGGCAUAAAUCUGCCUGUGACACUCUUUAACCUUGCAGCAGGACCGGAGGAUGGGCCAGCGGGAGUCCUGAGCUGUCCCCAGGACCUCCACAUAACACACGGCUUUUGGGCAAGCUCCUGGCCCCAGGAGGGGCUGGGGAAGCUGCUCUGGAGGCAGAGCCCUCCAGCAGUGCCUGGGGGCUUCUGUGCUCAGCCCACAGCAAGGGUAGGACUGGAACAGAGGUAGAAAUCCUUCUCCAGCUGGCCAAGCCCACCUGGGCAUAGCAUUCUAGACGUAGGCUGUAUUUUCCUGCAUCCAUGCGUACGCAGGCCACAUGUCCCAGGGGCACAGCCCAGGCUCCCUUUGCCCGUGCACCAAGCUGGAGGUGAAGCCGCUGACCCUGUGAGCAGGGUGCAAAGCACAUUGUGGCCGGGUGAGGAGGCUGACAUGGCCAAAAGCUGGCCUCUGUUACCCUGGGGACUUCCUCAGGUAACGUGGCCCUGCUCCUGGGCACUUGUGCUCUCCCAGCACGGAGAACCUGUAGCAAGCGGUUCAUUCAUUUGCUAGGAUGUACAUUUUUCCAGGCAAAGUGGAGGCCCACGUGCCUGUUUAUGUUGUUUAACAUCUCUCUUUUACUUAGGAAACCACAGCAAAGGCCACUCUUCAUGUGCUCAGGCGGAAUCUCUUUGAACCCUCACCCUGCAAUCAAAGUAAGAAAACGGAAAACAAUGCUUCAAUAAAUAGUCGCUGUUUGCAUCCCAAAUACGUGUAAUUUAUGAAAAACACGCUAGCAUGCAAAACCAGUGCCUGCUGACUGAGCUCUUCAUAACACGUGGUUAGUAAACAGGAGGGUAGCGGGUUCCGUGUGUGUUUUUCUGAACAGGAAACAUCUCAAAAAAGAAAAAAAAAAAGGCAAAACUCCAUAUUUAAAAUGCAACCUAAAGCACCACUGUGGGAGCAGCCUGGGAGAGCCCUGACACCCAUUUCUCUUGUACCCUGUGCCAUGGGCACUGCAGGCAGGGCUUUUGGAGGGGCUGGUCUGGUGCCCAUGUGCUGCCCGUGCUAUGCUGGAAAUUUCACACGAAACUCUGAGGGAGGAGCAGGUGCAUCCCCUUCUCAGCUCACAGAGAGGCCGGCCGGGUGUGUGAACAAUAAUGAAGGAAAGCUGCAAUAUGUGCCAAACUCUGAGGCUUAAUGGGCAGAAACCCUAAUGUCAGCCCAGCAAGCGUCUUGUAAUGCUGACAACGGGGCUACAGGGGAACAAAACGCCGGCUCUUGCCUACGUACCCUGGACAACAGCUCAAUCUAAAAAUCACUCUGUAAGAGGCCGCGCAUCAGAUGUAGCUUUUAUUGAUUUCUUUCCGUGGUCUGCUCUUACAAGCUGGAAAACCCCCAUAACAAAAUCCUGGUCAGAUAAAACGUAGGUGCCAGAGUCAUAUUUGAAAUGCUUAUGAUGCAAGGUACACGGUGGUGUUUUGAGAGAAGAAGACCAUUAAAAUCACUGUGAUCUCUGCUUUUCUC